AGUGAACGCUGGCGGUAGGCCUAACACAUGCAAGUCGAACGGCAGCACAGUAAGAGCUUGCUCUUACGAGUGGCGAGUGGCGGACGGGUGAGGAAUACAUCGGAAUCUACUUUUUCGUGGGGGAUAACGUAGGGAAACUUACGCUAAUACCGCAUACGACCUACGGGUGAAAUCAGGGGAUCUUCGGACCUUGCGCGAUUGAAUGAGCCGAUGUCGGAUUAGCUAGUUGGCGGGGUAAAGGCCCACCAAGGCGACGAUCCGUAGCUGGUCUGAGAGGAUGAUCAGCCACACUGGAACUGAGACACGGUCCAGACUCCUACGGGAGGCAGCAGUGGGGAAUAUUGGACAAUGGGCGCAAGCCUGAUCCAGCCAUACCGCGUGGGUGAAGAAGGCCUUCGGGUUGUAAAGCCAUUUUGUUGGGAAAGAAAAGCAGCAGGUUAAUACCCCGCUGUGCUGACGGUACCCAAAGAAUAAGCACCGGCUAACUUCGUG
rnacentral:rRNA from 1 species